ACUCCUACGGGAGGCAGCAGUGGGGAAUAUUGCACAAUGGGCGCAAGCCUGAUGCAGCCAUGCCGCGUGUAUGAAGAAGGCCUUCGGGUUGUAAAGUACUUUCAGCAGUGAGGAAGGUGGGUAUGUUAAUAGCAUACUCAUUUGACGUUAGCUGCAGAAGAAGCACCGGCUAACUCCGUGCCAGCAGCCGCGGUAAUACGGAGGGUGCGAGCGUUAAUCGGAAUUACUGGGCGUAAAGCGCAUGCAGGUGGUUUGUUAAGUCAGAUGUGAAAGCCCGGGGCUCAACCUCGGAAUUGCAUUUGAAACUGGCAAACUAGAGUACUGUAGAGGGGGGUAGAAUUUCAGGUGUAGCGGUGAAAUGCGUAGAGAUCUGAAGGAAUACCGGUGGCGAAAGGCGGCCCCCUGGACAGAUACUGACACUCAGAUGCGAAAGCGUGGGGAGCAAACAGGAUUAGAUACCCUGGUAGACUCUGC
rnacentral:rRNA from 1 species